rnacentral:ncRNA from 2 species
AGCACUGCUCCGGGGUGCACGCUGUUCUGCGUGCUGAGACGGUUAUCCGAACCCGCGAACUUGAACCGGUUAGUACCGGCGGAAGAAGAGCUCUCACUCCAGCG